rnacentral:rRNA from 1 species
GAUGAACGCUGACAGAAUGCUUAACACAUGCAAGUCAACUUGAACUUCGGUUUGGGUGGCGGACGGGUGAGUAACGCGUAAAGAACUUGCCUCACAGCUAGGGACAACAUUUGGAAACGAAUGCUAAUACCUGAUAUUAUGAUUUUAGGGCAUCCUAGAAUUAUGAAAGCUAUAUGCGCUGUGAGAGAGCUUUGCGUCCCAUUAGCUAGUUGGAGGUAACGGCUCACCAAGGCGAUGAUGGGUAGCCGGCCUGAGAGGGUGAACGGCCACAAGGGGACUGAGACACGGCCCUUACUCCUACGGGAGGCAGCAGUGGGGAAUAUUGGACAAUGGACCAAGAGUCUGAUCCAGCAAUUCUGUGUGCACGAUGAAGUUUUUCGGAAUGUAAAGUGCUUUCAGUUGGGAAGAAAAAAAUGACGGUACCAACAGAAGAAGUGACGGCUAAAUACGUG